GUAACAAGGUUUCCGUAGGUGAACCUGCGGAAGGAUCAUUACCACACCUAAAAACUUUCCACGUGAACUGUCUGUGAUGUUGGGGGCUGCCCUUGGUGGUGGCUCCAUCAAACGAGGCCCUGGGCUGCAAAGUCGAGGGUAGUAGUUACUUGUUGUAAACCCUUUUGUAAUUUUUCUGAUCAUACUGUGGGGACGAAAGUCUCUGCUUUUAACUAGAUAGCAACUUUCAGCAGUGGAUGUCUAGGCUCGCACAUCGAUGAAGAACGCUGCGAACUGCGAUACGUAAUGCGAAUUGCAGGAUUCAGUGAGUCAUCGAAAUUUUGAACGCAUAUUGCACUUCCGGGUUAUGCCUGGGAGUAUGCCUGUAUCAGUGUCCGUACAUCAACCUUGGCUUCCUUCCUUCCGUGUAGUCGGUGGCGGGAACGCGCAGACGUGAAGUGUCUUGCUGGGCGUGAGUCCGGCGAGUCCUUUGAAAUGUAAGAUACUGUUCUUCUCUUUGCUGGAAAAGCGUGCGUUGUGUGGUUGUGGAGGCUGCCGUUGUGGCCAGUCGGCGACUGAUUUCGUGCUGAGGCGUGUGGGGAGGAGCUCGAUUCGCGGUAUGGUUGGCUUCGGCUGAACUUCUGCUUAUGGGGCUGUUUUUCUGCUGUUUCGGCGUUGCGGGGUCGGUGAACCGUAGUCAUGGUGGCUUGGCUUUUGAACCGCGCGGCUGUUGCGCGAAGUAUGGUGGCUUCGGCCGAGAGGACGACCUAUUUGGGACGAUUGUGCGGCUUCGUGCUGCAUCUCAAUUGGACCUGAUAUCAGGCAAGAUUACCCGCUGAACUUAAGCAUAUCAUA
rnacentral:rRNA from 1 species